rnacentral:piRNA from 1 species
AAGAAAGAACAAUCUGCUAUC